AGUCACUGACAUUAGAUACCCCUGUAGUCCAGGGUGUAAACGCUGCAGACUUGGUGUUGGAAGCCCUUUGGGGGCAUUCAGUGCCGGAGAGAAGUUGUUAAGUCUGCUACUUGGGGAGUACGUCCGCAAGGAUGAAACUUAAAGGAAUUGGCGGGGGAGCACCGCAACGGGAGGAGCGUGCGGUUUAAUUGGAUUCAACACCGUAAAGCUCACCAGGGAAGACUGUUACAUGAAGGCCGAGAUGAAGACUCUGCUAGAUUUUCAG
rnacentral:rRNA from 1 species